rnacentral:rRNA from 1 species
UACGUAGGUGGCGAGCGUUGUCCGGAUUUAUUGGGUUUAAAGGGUGCGUAGGCGGCCCCAUAAGUCAGUGCUGAAAUAUCCCGGCUUAACCGGGAGGGUGGCAUUGAUACUGCGGGGCUUGAGUAAAGUCGAGGUAGGCGGAAUUGACGGUGUAGCGGUGAAAUGCUUAGAUAUCGUCAAGAACACCGAUAGUGCAGACAGCUUACUAGGCUUUAACUGACGCUGAGGCACGAAAGUGUGGGGAUCAAACAGG